UACAGAGGGGGCAAGCGUUGUUCGGAAUUACUGGGCGUAAAGGGCGCGUAGGCGGCCUGUUAAGUCGAACGUGAAAUCCCCGGGCUCAACCCGGGAACUGCGUCCGAUACUGGCAGGCUUGAAUCCGGGAGAGGGAUGUGGAAUUCCAGGGUGGUAGCGGAUGAAAUGCGUAGAUAUCUGGAGGAACACCGGUGGCGAAGGCGGCGAUCCUGGACCGGUAU
rnacentral:rRNA from 1 species